GCCCGGCUGCUGCCUUCCUCAGGCUCGCGUGGUGCGGGUGCGGGAGCGGGUCCGGGCUGCGGCUGCGGGGCUGGAGGCGGCGGCUGAGCGGCGGGGAAGAGACCAAAGCGCCGCAGUCGUGAAGCAGAGGAGCAGAUCCAGAGCGCUGUGCGUUUAAUUUAUGAGCCACUCCACGCUAAAAGGAUGAAAACAUGGGACUUAAGUUCUCCUGCCUGAAAGGCUUUAAAUCAUGUGUGAGCAGCGGGAGCAGCCAGACACCCGUGGUGAACAGCAAACACCUGAGAGUCCCGGCCAUUAUCAUCACACCUCCUACCCCCACGGGCAUGACGCUGUCCAGAGACGCCAGGCGGCCAGGUGAAGAUCCGCCGCACAACUGCUGAGCCAGAUGCUGUGAGACUAGGAGCAGCGCAGAGCGCGAGGCGAGGGCCGGAGAGUGCAUGAAAGAGCCGGCGCUGGUUCGCAGGCCCCGUGAACAGCUUGCACGGGAACCCAUCUGUGCCGUGUCUUUCCCCCGUUCCUCCCCCUCCCUUUAACCAGGUUUAUUAAAGAUUUAUUAAUGGAUCUGCAUACACCUCACUACUGGGACUGUCACACUGUUCCGAACUCCAGCAAGCUGUGGCCUGUUAAGUAAUUAGCCAGGCAGCUCCUCUCUGGGAGCGAUGGAGCAGACUGACGGCUGGGGCGGGGGAGACGGCUGCAAUGCUGCGGCACAGUGAUUUGGAGGUGGCUUUUCCGGCGCAGGCCCAGCCGGCAGCCUCCCCUUGGCCAUUUAAAUCACCAUAAAAGGGCUUGGCUGGGGCUGAAGCUAAAUCAAGGGGCAGGCGGCAGGAGCAUUCUCUGCCCUGGUCACCGAGAUCCUUUCCACGGCUCCGGGUUGUUCUCAUGGAGCCUCCAUGCCCUCAGUGAGGCAGUGGGAUAUGUGUCGCGUCCCGCCCUGAUGGAAGCCGAGCGGCCCAAGUUUUGGCUGGGCUCACCAUCCCGCAGGCUGGCAGGGUGGAAUGGUUCCACUUCAAGUGCCAGAGCGCACCGGGGAAGAUGCUGAACAUUUUUAGCAGCAGGCGACCACUGUGCUGCAACCCAUAGGCAAGGCUGGUGGCUCCCGAUCUAGGAAAGGAGCAUGAGCCGGGAUGGAAGGGACAGAUCACCGCCAUCGGCUCAGAGAGGCCGGGUGCCAGCCCUCUCCUGGUGGCCGGGAGAUGAGCACUACAGUGCUUGACAUGGCGACAUCUGACCAGAGCGCCGUGUUCACGGGAAGGACCAGGAAAACCUGACCUCAGCCCCAGCCGUCACCUGAACGUGGGUUGUCCCAGGACUUCAGCUGCAUAGACCCAGAGACGACGGGAGUGUCACAAUGUUUUUUGUACCAAGUUCAUGCUCUGGCAUUUCUGAUGUACCAAACCCAGGUGGCCAAAGGUGGGGGAAUCCCAGCUAGGUUCACGGUGGGGUCGGGAGGUUUGGAUCUAUUUGAGGAGGGGCAGAUGCAAGCCUCUGAUGGGAAUACAAGCCUGCCAUCAGUUUCAGUGUGUGGCAACCUUGCUUCCGUGACCACUUUUUUCAGCAUGACCUGAGCAUGUGCCCUGCUGCUCUGUGCGGAUAGAUACCAGUAGACCAAGGAAGAGCCCAUCUGAGCUUCACAGAGUGGUGGAAGGAGGGAGCUGCUUUGUGUAGAGGUUACCUAGAGGAUUUGGGCUACUGGGACUCUCCCCAUCUGCAUCUGCUGGCCCAGGCAGCACUUUCUUUGCUGCUGGAAGUGGCUAGAUUGGGAUGCUGCCGACUGCGGUUUGUGCCUGGAGUGAUCUCCCACAACCCCCUGGCAGGCCAGCCUGAUCCAGGAUCUCUGAGGGGCGGGGGCAUGGAAUCCCUCCCCUCCCAGCAGAGAGAGCGAGGCAUGGAGAGUCCCGGUGCAGCUGGGCAGCCCUUCGCAGCUGGCUUGGGCGCUGAUGACGCAUGCGUAUCCUUCGCCCUUUCCUCGCCAACACAUGGGCAUGCAGUGUGGGGAGGGGAGCAGAUGCGCAGAACUGUGAGCUACCGUGGCAGAGUCGCUGUGAGAUAUAGCGAGGAGAACAACCUGAGAAUGCCCCAGCCUGACAAAGGGACUGAAUUCACCAAGGGGCAGAGUCUGCUGCCUCUAGGGGUAGGGGCUUCUAUCCCAGUCUAUGCCACCAAUGCAGGCUCGUCUCAUGCACUGGUGGGAUCCUAACCAUGUCAUGAGGGUGAAGGGGCAUGUUUUAAAGUGGACUGUCUUGGCACUAUUUUAAAAAGGGCUAGAAGUGAUUUAUAAG